CUCACCUUCUUGGUCCAGUUUUAACCCAAUUUUCAAUGAAGCCAACCCAAGCUCUUUCUCAUCAAAAGAAGCCUCCAUUUCUUUAAAAGCUUGAAGCAUCUCCUCAGCUGUCUCUGCAGACUCAAAAGCCUCUUCAAGUUCAUACUUUUCCUUGAUUUUUCUCUGCCUAGAGGAGAUUUGAGCAUUUUUUUCAACAAGGGCGUCAAUAUUUGGAGAUGGGUUUGCUUGGAAUUGGCGAGGUUUGAGGAUUAGGCCAUUAGUUUUGGUGCAGUGUUUGAGAUGAUUGCUAGAUGAGUGAAGCAAAGAGGACGAAGAAGGUGCGGUGUCAGAAAUGUAAUUUCUGGAAAGGAAAGGAGUCAGUGCUUUGUUCUUUUGGCGAGUAAGGUGAGAGAGAAGUGAAAUUGAAGCUCUUCUCAUGGUUGUAUUUGAGGGGUUCUGUGGAUAUACUUGUGAAAGUGGCUGUGGCUCUCAGUUAAACCCUUGCAAAACCCCAAAUCCUUCGAACUUUGUCUCAGGAUACAUCGCGUUGCAGGUGAAGGACUGGAGUACUUGACAGACUUGAG
rnacentral:misc_RNA from 1 species